CACAAGUGAGAUGGAUUUUGCCUACCAAAAGUUUCAUUAUAAUUCUAUUUCUCUUUAGCAAUUUAUAUCUCUGCAGAACCAAUUGAUACCAUGAGUUUAAUUUCAAGAACACAAUCUGAAAUGGAGACUCUUGAGGCCAUCAAUUAUGAUAAUGUGCUUAAUGAAGGAGAAGAGCAAGAUAAAAAAAUUGGCAAAGACUCAGACACAGGAAGAAAAUCAAAGAGAAAAAGAAGUUCUAAGAUUAGGAAACUGUCUACUCAUGAGGAGGAAUCAGAUAUAGUGCACUAUGAAGAAGCAACAAAAGCCAAAGUUCCAUCAAAGAAGCGAGCCUCUGAUCCAUAUGGUGAUGAAGCAUAUGAGAGUCGAGGCUCAGUUUCAAAAGCACAAACAUAUACAAAGAAACAAGGAACUCACCAAAGAGGAAGAGGCAGUGCCUCUGACGCAUAUGGUGAUGAAGCAUAUGAGAGUCGAGGCUCAAUUUCAAAAGCACAAACAUAUACAAGGAAACAAGGAACUCACCAAAGAGGAAGAGGCAGUGUUCAAGAGGAGGAAUCAGAUACAGUGCACUAUGAAGAAGUAACAAGAGCCAAAGUUCCAUCAAAAAAGCAAGCCUCUGAUCCAUAUGGUGAUGAAGCAUAUGAGAGUCAAGGCUCAGUUUCAAAAGCACACACACAUACAAAGAAACAAGGAACUCACCAAAGAGGAAGAGGCAGUGUUCAUGAGGAGGAAUCAGAUACAAUGAACUAUGAAGUACCAAGAAAAUCUAAAAUUUCUUCUAGAAGAAAAGGAUUUGCUCUUCCUAUUACACAUCAGGUUGAAAUGCACAGUUCUGAGAGUCAAGGAUCAAUCUCAAAAUCAAACACAGAAACAAAGAAACAAGGAACUCACAAAAGAGGAAGAGACAGUGAUGCUGAUGGAGCACGUACACCUGUGAGUCAAGGGUCAGACUCAAAAGCAGACACAGAAAGAAAGAAACACAGAUCUAAAGAAGAAAGCACCAUCAGUAAGGACAGUAUUCCAGUUUUAGAUGAAGUGCAAGACAAAACCUUUGAACAUCAAGAGUCAGGAUUAAGAUUAGAAGUUCAGGCAAAGAAACUAACGUUCAGCUCUCAAAAUAUUCACAAUGAAGAAUCAGCUACAGAUAUUAAAGUGGAGUAUCAAAAUGUACCAUCAAGCUCCCAAGUCCAGUUAAAGAAGCAAAAGCCUUUGGGAGGAGAAAUAUUUACUACUCAUUUUGUAGUACCAGCGGAAAGUCAUGCACAAUUAUAUCAAACGCAUACACCAGAAACACAGAUAGAAAGAGGAACAACUUCUGGCACUGCAAGACUCACUACAAUUCCUGUAGAACACCCUAAAAAGGAAGCAUCACCGGACAAUCUAUUUCCUGAGAAGAAACUUUAUAUAACUAGAGCCCCGACUCAGACCAAGAAACAGUACCCUCCUUGGGACGCUAAGGCAGAGACAAGAAUGAUUCAGGAUAGACAAAGAAGGAAGCAGAACUUCUAGCAUAGAAGUAUAAUAUUGAAGAAUUGGAAAGUAGUGCUGUGUUGAAAGCUGUAUGAUUGGAGGUGAUUAUACAAAGCAACUUCUUUAUAAUGUGAAUGAAAAAUCCUUGUAUUAGAGGAAGAUACCAUCAAGGACUAUUAUUGCAGAAAGUCAAUGAAUGACUGAGAAUUCAGAGGACGGUCUGAUUUUCUUGUUAUGAGCUAAUGAAGAUUGAUGGCUUUAGACUGAAACUUGCAUGCACCCAUUUCAACAAUCCCAUGAUCCUUCAGAAUUGAACUAAAUUUAUUCUGCCUGUGUUCUGUAAAUGCAGCAACAUUGCCUGGAUGACAGCUCAUGUCUUUAUAGCAUAUCACUGACUAAACCCAUUGAGAGAUCUAUUACCCACAAGAAAAGAUUGCUUUUAAAAUACUGCUGUUACAAUAUGUGGUGAAGAUGUGUGGCUAGAAGAAUGCUGCAUACAUUCUGGAUAGUGUGAACAGCUCAAAAUUCAAGCCUUAAAAGUGCAGUUCAAAGGCUGUUCUUCCUGAAUGACUCUUUUGAUGGAUCUGCAUAAAGAAAAUGGAUACUAGAAUGAGCUCACCAAUCUAGGACACUCUUUCCAUCACAGGAAGACUUUAAACUGUUUAUAUUAACAGGAGUUUGUAAGAAUCUGAUUUCAACAUUGGUAGCUUUGAGAUGCUAAGGACUUCGGAAGAAGAACCUACAAAUGUGGAAAGAGCAAGAGAAAUAGAACCAGAAGUGGACCCCAGGGUCACAGCUUCAUGGCUGCCAUCUUAUGGUUCAAUCUGAAUGGGUGAGGAGUCACUUUUUAGAAAUGUGCAAAGAAAAUAGUUUAAAUCAUGAUAGAAUUUCUUGCAAAAUUAGUCAUUCCUUCCAGAUGCUGUCAACUACAUUUUUGUGAUUUUUUUUUUGCUGUCAUAUCAACAACAUUCCAGCAUCUUCAUCAUGAAUAGAGUUCCAUCAUACUUCCACGUUCUCAUUUAUCUUCAACUCCAUCUUGAUACCUAGUGAGGUCAGAACAUCGAGCUAAGGUCUGAUGAAAAUUAUAUGUCAGUAGACCCAACAUCAAAAGAUCAUCCUCAAUUUAAGAAACUGAAAACUACCCACAUAGAAAACACUGCUCAGAAAAAAACAGUCAAAGAAGUUCAGGGGAUAUCAGAACCUCAGACAAAACUGAACCCAACGAUGAGUGGCAUCAUAUUACACUUGGACAUGGACAGAGUGGUUGAGACUGACCUAGAAAACUUGGAAGAGACCAUUGUACCACAUGUAUUAAGAAGUGAACUUGAGAUUGGCACAGAUGCAAAAAAUAUGCCUGAAACACCCACAUCAAGGGAAGCAGUGAGAACAGAGGCAAAGGGUAAUCAAGAUGUGACUAUUUCCAUCGCUAAAGGCAUGAAACUAAUUGGAAAACUGAAAGAUCAACAUGGUUUGAGUUCAUUUGCAAGUAAAGAUACCAUUAGUCCAGGGAAGAGCCUGAUAAAGUCAUCCAGAGACAAUCAAGAUGACAGUUUAUUGGAAACCAAACCUCAAGAAAAUACAAGUGACAAGUACCACCCAUCAAAGACAUUUCCAACAAAAGUGAUCAACAUGUUACCCUUCUCUGAAAAAUCCUUGGGAAGCACUUCAGCAAAUGUGGAUGUAGCUCCAAAACCAGUUUAUAGGGCAUCAAGGGGAAGGUCAAGAAUCUCUAAAGCCUUACAGCAGUUAUUAAAGACUUCAGAGCAUCUGAAACCAACCAGUACAAAAAACCAAAAUGCUGAUCUUGAGAAACACCUGUAUAUUUCAGUCAGAUCUGCAAAUAAACAUACACAAAAAGAUAAAAAACAUGGGCAGUCUAACAAUCAAAAGUUAAAGAAACAAGGUGCUUUGUCAUCUACCAAAAAGCAGAAACAUAAAGAACAGCCUAAAACUGAAACAAUAGUUGAAAAUAAUGAUAAGUUUGAUGAUAAUCUGAUGAUGACUACCUCUUCUCCAAAUAUCAAAAUCAUUAAAGGUAAAGGAAUAUUUUCAUAUGUGUCUGAAACAAA
rnacentral:lncRNA from 1 species